AUGCACUGGUGCCCCGGAAUCGGGCCGCGGGUGCGCUCCUUCCUGCGUGACUACGACGCGCUCCAGUCCUUCGCCCUCGCCCUCAUAUACCUCCAGAUUGGUUGUGCGCUGAUUGGAUCGCUUGGUGCACUGUUCAAUGGGGUUCUUGUAAUAAACCUUGUGAUAGGGCUAUUUGCUGUUGUUGCGAUUGAAAGUAGUAGCCAAAGACUUGGCCGGACUUAUGCUGUCCUGCUCUUCUUUGCUAUCGUCCUUGAUGUUGCAUGGUUUAUACUCUUCUCACAUGCUAUAUGGAAUAGUACCCCUGAUGAGAAGUAUGGUCAACUUUUUGUUUUCUCACUCAGACUUGCAUUGUGGAUGCAAACUAUUGGGUUUUCAGUGAGGUUUUUAUCUUCAUUUAUAUGGAUCCAGAUGUACAGGUUAGGGGUCUCAUCAAGCACGCCAACAUAUUAUGAAGCAAAUGAUGCAAGAAAUAGUUUCUUGAGCCCCAGAUCUAAUUCAGUUAGACGGGGUUCAAUGGCUGAUGAUAUAUUGGGUGGUUCAAUUUACGAUCCUUCUUACUACUCUUCUCUCUUCGAAGAUGUUCGAAAUAAUGCAUGCAAUCAUCAGGGUGAUAAACAAAGUGGUGGUAAUGAUGGCGGGUCAACAUCUGCAGGCCAAUCUCCACGGCUUAAAUCUUUUGGUAGUAGAUCUUUUCUUUCUAAUGAUGUGGAGGCUGGACUAAGAAGGCCGCUGAAUUCAUGCUCAGUGGAGACAAGUUGA
rnacentral:rRNA from 1 species